ensembl:lncRNA
CAUUGUGCAAUAAAUGUGUAAUGUGAAAGCCCUUCCAUUGCAGAGAUGGCUCAGAUAAUGGUGAUUUUUCUAUUUCCAGAGCGGAAACAAUGGAACUCUUUUCUCUCCAUGACGUCUGUGACAUCUGUGCGGUUGUUUAUACCAAGUCCACGGAGAGAAUUAUUUCACCCAUGGCUGCUGAACUUUACCAUUUAAUUUUAGCAACGGAACUAGGAGAAGUGAACCGUGAAGGGUUUUCUGGUUUAGAAAAGACCGCGGAAGAGUUAGCUGUGGCUACAGAAGAGCUGGCUUGUAGUGCAAAGAGGCUGGCCGAGGAAUCUGAGGAUGAGGUAUUUCAGCAGGAAAUGAUCCCAGCGGCCGAAUCUCUCCUGAUCUCAGGGAAAAACAUCCUUCUGGUGGCACAGAAGCUCCAGAUUCAACCUUCCGCUGAUAACUGUAUUGGGGAAUUGGCUGAAUCCACGAAAAGGAUUCUUUUGGAAACCAUAAAAGUACAGUAAAUGUAUUACAUGUACAUAUGUAUGUUUUCCCCAUCAGGGACUUGCAGAGAAGUAGCAAGUGAAAGCCUGUUGUGGUCUGUUUAGUCAGGCCCUUGUGUGGCUCUUGAAAGACUAAUUCCAAUUCAUUGUUGAAGGCUUUCAUAGCAGAAUCAUUGGGUUGCUGUGAGUUUUUUGGGCUGUAUGGCCAUGUUCCAGUAGCAUUCUUGAAGCCGCAGUGGCUCAAUGGGUUAAACCCUUGUGCUGGCUGAACUGCUGAUCUGAAGGUUGGCAGUUCGAAUCCGCAAGGCAGGGUGAGCUCCCAUCUGUCAGCCCUAGCUUCCCAUGUGAGGACAUGAGAAAAGCCCCCCCCCCUCCGCAGGAUGGUAACAUAUUUGGGCAUCCCCCAGGCAACGUCUUUGAAGAUGGACGAUUCUCUUACACCAGAAGCGACUUGCCUCAAUUUGCUUCUGACACGAUAAAUUUUUAAAAAGCAUCCUCUCCUAACAUUUUGCCUGCAUCUGUGUUUGUAUCUUCAAAGCUUCUAUCAGAAAAUGCCACAGAUAUAGGAAAAACGUCAGGAGAGAAUGCUACUCGAACAUGGCCAUACAGCCCGAAAAAUUCACAGCAACCCAGUAAUUCCAAUUCACUCCCAGGUUCAAAUACAUUGCUUAUACUUCAUUCUCUGCUUCAGACAAGAUAUUUCCAAUUCUCUCUAACCUCCUUGCUCAUAUCUACAAUUAAAGUGAACAGUUAUGGUAAGCUAGUGCAAGUGGCAAAAUCUGUAAACUGUCAGGUUUCCAGAGACUUUUUGAUUUCUCCAGAUGGGAUAUUUUUGAACAAUACCUGCCUGUCCAUUAAGAGCUGCUAAGUCUACUUUAAACUAAUGUAGGUUUUGCUCCUAAAUGUAAUAUUAUCACACAGACUGUUGUUACAACAACAGAGAAGCUUCACAUUUUUCUAGGAAGUAUAAGUAAAAAAGAAAAAAAAGUUAAAAAGAAAGGAUAGGAAGCCAAAAUAAUUGAUACACGAUCUUGCAAAACUAACAUAGAAAUGAACGUUCUAAAAAUUUAUAUUUAGCAACAUAAUAUUUACUGGUAAUUUAUUAAAGCUGUUGAUUUAUAGUUUUUGUGUUAUUUUUGUUGUGGUAAUCUCUGAGCGGUUAGACUCAAUUUAACCCUCUCUGGGGGAGAUUCCACCAAAAUCAGCAGAGUAGCAAAAACAAAGCUUUCAAAUGCAACAGUUACUUACACUGGUGAGCAAGAGAAGCCUUUUUAGGAUUGCAAUGGACUGCAGAGUCUCAAUAAAAGUUCAAAAAGUAUUUAUUCAGGUAAAAGGAACUCCAUUGUAGAUAGAAAGCCUUGGGAGCUGUCUAGAUUACUAUAGACUGGAUUCUAAGGAAAAAUAAGUAAGGAAAAGUAACAAACAUCUACAUAGUUACAUCUUGCCAGGAGAGAUGGCAGGAUGCUGCUUGUUAGUUUGAAGAACAAAGGGAGAAGAGAGAGAACCAAAAUGGUUCCAACCUCAUGGUCCAGUUUAUUGGGGCCAUAAAAGACACUCUGACCAAUUGGGAGUUAGUGUCCCUAAAGAUUCACAUUUCUACCAACUUCAAAGUAAGGGACGUGACGUAAACAGGAUAGAGUGAAACACAGUAAAGCCUGUCUAGGCAUGCUUUGGAAACAGGGAAAGGAUUCCCUCAAUCUAACUCUAUCAUCUAUCUAACUACAUUUGGACUUGAGUAGUCCAGGAUGAUUUCCCAACAAUCCCCUUCUUCAGCCUGGGCUGCUCAUGUCCAUCAGGUUCAACAUCUUCUUCAACUUAUCAUGAGCAUGUCUAGGCAGGGGUUUUGUCAGAAUGUCGGCAAUCAUGUCUUCAGAUCUGCAAAACUCCAACCUCAUAAAUCCUUCUUCGUGUGCAUUCUUCACGAUGUGGUAUCUUGUGUCAAUGUGCUUGAGCAAUGUACUGAUCUUCUCUGUUUGAGUAUACUUCAGACAACCUUGAUUGUCCUCAAAAACUUGUAUUGGUGUUGGUUCUUCGAUUCCAAAAUCAAAUAACAUCAUAUGUAGCCAUUUCAAUUGUUUGCAUGCUUCUGAUGCGGAAACAUAUUCUGCUUCUGUUGAAGAUGAAGCUACUACUUUUUGUUUCUGUGUUGUCCAGUCUAUCAGUGCAUCUCCGUAGAAGAAUAGAUAGCCGCUGGUAGACUUGCGAUCUGUAAUAUCAUUGGCCCAGUCAGCAUCCACAUACCCUGUCAGUGUAGGGUUGCUGGUGGCUUGUAGUCUCAACUUGAAGUUCAGUGUGCCUUUUAGGUAUCUAGCAACUCUUUUGAUUGCAAUUAAGUCAUAUUUGGUUGGUUUACUAGUCUUCCUGCAUAGUAUCCCAACCGCUGCUGAAAUAUCUGGUCUAGUGAUUCGAGAGAUGUACAACAUUUUCCCAAUUGCCUCUCGAUACAAGGUGUUGUCACUCAAUGGUUCACUUUCUGAAGUGUUUUUCCAAUAGUUCACUUCCAUGGGUGUAGUCACUGUAUUUGCUUCUAAGAGUCCAAGAUGUUUUAGCAAGUCAAUAAUCUUUUGUCUCUGAUUCAGGAGAAAGCUCCCAUCUUCUUCUCUUUCAACCUGUAUUCCCAAAUAAUGACUCAAAUUGCCAAGUUGUUUGAUUUCAACGGUACGGCUCAAAUGUUGUACAAGAUCAUCAAAGUCAGAUUUCUGUUGAAAGCAACACACUAUGUCAUCUACAUAGGCUAGAACAUAUGUCCAUCUGUUGUUUUUGAAUCUAGAAUAAAGGCAAGGAUCAGCUUUCCCUUGUGCAAACCCCUUCUCAAUUAACAUUUGAUUUAAUUUCUGAUUCCAGCAUUUUGCUGCUUGUUUUAAACCAUAGAGAGAUCGUUGCAAUUUGCAUACAUAUCCUUUGUGUGCCUUGUCUUCAAAUCCAGGUGGUUGUUGCAUAAAUAUCUCUUCUUCUAAUUCGCCAUGAAGAAAAGCUGUAGCAACGUCAAGGUGUUCAACAUUCAUUUUUCUAGAGGCUGCAAUUGCAAGCAAUGUCCUCAAGGUGGUGUGUUUUACAACAGGUGCAAAAACUUCAUCAUAAUCCUCUCCAUAUUGUUGUGAGUAGCCCUUAGCUACAAGUCUGGCUUUGUAUCGCUGUAUCUGUCCAUUUUCAUCACGUUUCAGUUUGAAAAUCCAUUUACAGCCAACUACAUUCCUAUUUUCUGGUGGUGGUACAAGUGUCCAUGUCUUGUUUUUAUGUAAUGACUCUAUUUCAUCUGAUGCAGCAGUAAGCCAUUUUUCUUUUUCAUCCUCUGGAAACUUCAGCAUCUGAUUCCAGGAUGAUGGUUCCUGUAGUUCAGCUUCAUUGGUAAGAUAAGCAAAUCUCUGGGGAGGGACCCCACGAUUUGUCCUUUGAGAUCUGCGUGGUAAUUGCUCAUUUUGUCCAUCGGGUGUCUCUGCACUUUCAUCUGGUCCUUGAGGGUGCCAUUGAUGUUCCUCUGCCAUGCCACUAUGUGGGUCAAUCCUUUCAUCGGGUCCUUCGACCUCAGAUGUCAGGGUCUCUCCACUGGGUGGCGUUGGCUCAUUUCUUUGAUCAGCCCUUCUGACCAGCGAUGGCAGGACUUUUCCAGCAGAUGGCGCAAUUGGCUCAUUUCCACUCUGCAGACCGCAUGUUAAGUCAUCAGAGUCAUUUCUUAACAAAGGCUCAUCAACAGGAGGCUGUAAAUUUCUUCCAACUCUUUCAUCUAUGUAAACCGUCUUUCCUACAAAAAUUAUAUUCUUUUCUGGAUCAUAAAGUCGGUAAGAUUUAUGUUCAUCAGAAUAACCAACCAGUAGGCAUUCUUUAGAGCUGCAAUCAAACUUCCCACUUCGCUUUUCUCUUGGGAUGUACACAUAGGCUUUGGAUCCAAACACACGCAAAUGCUUUACACUUGGAGAAUGACCAAACCACAAUUCAUAUGGGGUUACAUGACUUUUUGCAUUGGGCAUUCUAUUUUGCAAAUAACAAGCAGUAUUAAUGGCCUCAGCCCAGAAUUUACGCUGAAUUCCUGCAUGAUAAAUCAUGGAUUUUGCCAUUAUAAUCAAACUUCUAUUCUUUCUUUCUGCAAUGCCAUUCUGAU